CGUUGAUGCUCGGUGUGUGCUAUACACACUGUAUUAAUACUCAUCUUUCUUCUGGGUUUGGUGCAGAUGGAUUAUUGAUCCACCUCUCGAAAUUGUUGUUCCUUCCAAGCACACUCCAUGGACUGAUACCAAUUCGGAAGUUUCAUUUGAGCAGGACAGGCGCUUCUCAAGAGAAAAUAGAUCAAGGCUGAAAAGGAAGAGCGAGCCCCAAACGCAGGACUAAUGAGUCAGCACCAUACAGGAACUGCCCAUGCUUGGGACUGGACCUGGAUUUCACCCUUCGACACUCCAUCGCUCUUUUGCCGCAGUUGCCUAAAACCAGUCGAUACUUAAUCAGUCGUGCCGGUAUAAGCACUGUUAUCUUCUUAAUGUGUUUUAAUUUGUGGGAGUCUGAAAGAAAGACAACAUACAUACUCGAAUUAUACAGGUUCGCCCGUAAAAUUUUCCUUUUUUUUCUUUUUUUUUUUUUUUUUUUUUCCUGUAUUCAAUCUGCUACUUCAUUUCUGUAACAUGGUAGAUGUGCUUCUUGUUAUUUGGAAAAUACGAGAAUCGACUUAUCCUUUGCUCUAUGGACUCAUAAAUUUAACAUUGGGUGUAUAGGAAAUUUGAUUUCGGAUGAGAAUGCUGGUCAUGUUGACACUGUUUGUGGCGUUGUCGAACUUCGGCUUUUCUGAUAAAUUUGUUGUUACAAUUUGGUUUC